rnacentral:lncRNA from 10 species
CACAACUCAGAUCUUCCUGGCUCUUCCACUAGCUGUGAGACAUGGGGCAAGGCUCCAGAUUCAGCUGGGCCUUUAUUAACCAGCCCUGGAGUUAAAUCAUCAACCCAGAGGUCUGUCCUAGCCCUGGAGCCCAAGGAGACCCCUGAUUAUGCAGCAAGCAGGGCUGAAGUUUCCAUUUAAUUUUUGCAUCACAUCUUUAGCACUAUUGGACAUCCUAGAAACCUCAUUCACAAGAUUUCAAGUUUGAAGUGAUAGUGUUUGCUACCAGAGCCCCUUUUCUGUCAAAGAAAUUAGAAGCAGGAAGGUUGAUGCAUUCCCCCACAGAGCCACUUCCACUUGCUCCAGGCCACAGAGUUCUCUCUCCCGUGACAGUUUCCUUCCUGUGCAAUAGUAUCGCCUCUGGAACUUCCUCACCUGCCACCUGGUGCUGCUACAUGUCCACGUAUUUGGGCUCACAUAUUUUCCCACCGAUAGACAAGAGAUUACCAGAAAAGGGGUGAGGAAUCCAGAGAGAAUGUCUGCAUAAGAAGGAGGGUGGAGAUUUCUUACUGAACUAAAGGCUUCAAGAAUUGGCAAAUACCUGCUCACCCUUUUGAGAUGUUUUUCCAGACUUUUGUAUUUCUGAUGACUGGAUGACUCCACCUGGACCCGAGACUCAUGACUCACCCAGUCCUGUGGCCCCACCCAGAAGUGGACUCAGAGCAAGAGGACCAUUUUCCACACCCCAAUGAGUGCAUCCCCAACCAAUCAGCAGCACCUGUUCCCUAGCCCCCUGACCACCAAACUCUCCUUGAGAAACCGUAGCCUCCAAAUUUUCUGGGAGGCUGAUUUGAGUAAUAAUAAAACUUUGGUCUCCUAUGUAGCUGGCUCUAUGUGUAUUAAACUCUUCCUCUAUUGCAAUUCCCCUGCCUUGGUAAGUCGG